GUGUCAGCCGCCGCGGUAAUACGUAGGGGGCAAGCGUUGUCCGGAUUUAUUGGGCGUAAAGAGCGUGUAGGCGGCCAGACAGGUCCGUUGUGAAAACUGGAGGCUCAACCUCCAGACGUCGAUGGAAACCGUCUGGCUAGAGUCCGGAAGAGGAGAGUGGAAUUCCUGGUGUAGCGGUGAAAUGCGCAGAUAUCAGGAAGAACACCCGUGGCGAAAGCGGCUCUCUGGGACGGUACUGACGCUGAGACGCGAAAGCGUGGGGAGCGAACAGGAUUAGAAACCCCCGUAGUCC
rnacentral:rRNA from 1 species